AAUUUAGAGUACCCUCUCCUCUUCUGUUCUAUCCUAGCCGCCAACAGCUCCAACCUGCACGUCUCCUCUCCUCUCUUGGCACAGCCCCUGCAGUCCUGAACUCCUGAUUGCCGGCGGCUACAGCACCCUGCGUCCCCUGCCCCUUCUGCAGUCCUACUCGCCUGCUGCACUGCUGCAAUCUCCAACCGGCGGUGGCUGCGAACCAGUGACGAGAUGAGCACGUCAUCUGAAGUUUCCUUCAAAGGGGAUGGAUGCUACAUGGGAGAAGAGCUUUUGGAAAGGGAAGAAAGGAACUUGGGCUCAAGAAUUGGGAACAAAGCAGGUGACGGUAACAAUGGAACUACUACCUUUUGGAGUUAUCUUCAAGAAAUCAAAGAUAGGAUUGAGGGUCUUGCACUAGUUGAUUAGACCAAGAACUAAAGAAAGCGCACAUGUGACACAUGCUUGUCUUUUGGUGAUUUGAAACCGUGUUUGCUUCAAGAUGAGUGGAUGAACAAGUUCUUGUGUCGAAAUAUGAAACUGUGUUGCUGAACAAGAUGAGUGGUUGUGAACUAUGAACUAUGCAUUUUGUAAUGGUCACUAGUGCUUAAUUGUGUUAUGAAACUAUACAUUAUGUUAUGUACUGGUCACUGGUGCAGUGGGGGCGUGAUGCUUAAAUGGUGCUAGUGAAUUAUGUAUUUUGUGAUUUAUGAACA